UCCCUGGUAACCAAGGCGCCAACCAGAUGUCAAUUCCCCCUACAACCGGUCCCCUCCCCCUCCCGGUGGGACCGGAGCCUGCUGCUGGGUGCUGCCCACAAGCUUCUGCCGCACACUGAGGUGUCCCUCCAGGACCUUGCUUCAGACGCAGGCUCCCCUCACCCGUAAGAUAAGGCACUGGAAGGGCUGUGUGGGAUCCAGAGGUGCGUGCAGCUCUGCCGCGUGAAGCCGGCUGGACGUGCAAGAUCCAGGUGCUGGCAGGCUUCAUGUCUUCUGAGGCCUCUCUCCUGGGCUUGCAGAUGGCUGCCUUCUUGGUAUGUUCUCACAUGGCCUGUCCUCUGUUCAUGUGCAUUCCUGUAAUCUCUUCCUCUUCUCAUAGACACUAGUCCUAUUGAUCCAAGAUGACCUCAUUUAACCUUGAAAAAGUAAAGUGAAACUGUUAGUUGCUCAGUUAUGUCCGACUCUCUGCAACCCCACGGACUGUAGCCUGUCAGGCUCCUCUGUCCGUGGAAUUCCCAAUUACUGCUUUAAAAGCCCCAUCUCCAAAUUUAGUUAUAUUGGAGCUUAGGGCUCCAACAUACGAAUUUUGAAAGGAAUAUAAUUCAGACCAUAAUGCCAACUAAAAUAUACUCUAUCAUCAACUUAAAUUCCAGAAGGUGGAUAUGAAGAUAAUAGAAAGAUACAAUUUAUACAGUAGCACUACUGUAUAUUUUAGUGAAUUCUAAAUUCUUUGAAAUGUGUUGUGUACAAAAUAAUUCUGUUAACUAAGAAAUAUAAUUAAUGAAAAAUUCCAUUUUUCAGUAAUGCUAAAACUAGAAAGAGUCUGAAUGUAUUUUCUCUACUUUAACCUAGCUGUGCCAUUACAAGGUGUCACACAUACAACUGUGCUAACAGAUACAGUCAUCUAGAAUGCAUAGCUGGAAAGGAAAUCCUCUACUCCAGGGAGUGCCUUAAAAUAAAUUAGGAGGCCCACUCAUUACUUGUCCUUUGUUUUCUACUUUGGAUUACAUCAAACUGACCAAAAUUCCUAUUUAUUACUAGUCCAUUAAAACAAAAGCAAAGUUUAGACAGAGAGCAUUAAUCAAUUCAUAUUUCCAUAAGCACAAAGAUUACGUCAGCCAAUAAAUCACUCAACCAGCUGUGUCUUUUUUAAAAAGGAUUUGUAAAUAAUCAGUUUGACUGAAAUUAAUUGCAUUUUUUUCUUCUCCCAAUCCCUCACACACACAACAGUGUGAAAGUAUCUGGAGACAAAGAAUAAGCUGAGAUUCUGUCAUAAAUAAGAUAACCAAUUUGGCUUACACGCCAAGUAAUUCAUGGUGAGAUCAUUGAGUCCUUAGGUAUAGAGCCACAGCAAAAUGUAGUGCUAAGAAAUUCGAUCACAAAAUUUUCCAAGGGCCAUAGUUUUUCAAUGUGUAAAAAUUCAUCCAUAUAUGAGUACUUUUUUCUUUUGUGAAAGCACCAUCAUAAACCCAAUUAUAUUUCGUAAACUUUUAUCAGAUAACUUACUCAAAUGAUUUCUGACUAUACACUUGUUUGAAAUGUGGGUUUCGAGGAUUGGCUCCAUGAAGCAGAAGUCAUCUCAUGCCCUGAGGCUUCUACUUCAUCCACUACAAACAUCAACAUGGCAAAAAUCCAUGUCUAGAAACUUCCUAAAGAAUGAAGUGUCUUUCCUCUUUAGAAAGUAGCAACAUGAAAGAUGACUGAGAAUGCUAAGGAUUCAAAACCAUACCUUACAGUGUUAACUACAGUCACCCUGCUUUACUUUAGAUCUUCAGACUUUAUUCACCCAACAGCUGAAAGUUUACACCCUUUUACCACGCUCUUCCCAUUUUGGGUGCUUCUUUUCAAUUCUCUAUUUGUAUGAGUUUUACUGUUUUGUUUUUUAAUUCCACAUAUAUAUAUCAUAUCACACAGAGCAGUAUUUGUCUCUGCUUGGCUCUUUCACUUAGCAUAAAACCUAAAGGUCCAUCUGUAUUGUCACACAUACCAUGAUCUCCUGUUUUCUCAUGGCUGAAUAGUAUUCAUAGGAGUGUGUGUAUGUGUGUGUGAUUCUUCAAUAUGAUGUCCUGCAUUUCCAUUUUGCCUUGGGCCCUGAAAAAUUAGGCAGCCAAUCCUAAGAAUAUGUUAUCCUGAGGAUCCGUAUCAAUUCCAACUCUUCACUGAAUGUCGUCUUUAACUCCUUGCCUUCGGUCCUGAUGCUACCGUUUUCUUUGUCUGACACAGAGGAGUUCUGUUUUGGUUUUUCCUGUUAUACGGCAUGUAGCACAGGACCAGGUAAGGCACUGGCUGCUCAUCACUCCCGUCCCACAUGCGGCUUGUACCACCAGACCAAACCACCCGCUGCAUCUCCUUAUUCUCACAUUUUGACCCAGUUACUCCCUUAAAUUUACUGUUGACUCAUUCUCUUCUUCUCCAUCUUGAUUCAUGCGAUCAUUUUUGGUAACUUUAGGAGCAUGUGGAUGAACUAUUUCCUCUGCCUGUCAGCCCCUUCCUUACCUUCCGUCACCUGUUCCUCCGCCUCGUCCCAGCCAGUGAUGCUGGUUGUAUCAGCAGUAGCUCACCACACCUGAAGUCUUAAAACCAGUCACUUCCUUCUCCGGCUGCCACCUGCGUUCAUUCAGUUUUCAGUCUCAGGUACUCAUUUUGCAAGAAUUCUUUAACUUCAAUGAAACAUCAAACCAUUGACUUCACUUUUCACUCUCUUCCAACCUACAUAUAUCUCCUUUUCCCCCUUUAACCAGGCUUUUAAUCCAUGUUUCCUAGUUUAAAUUAUUCCCUUUUAAGUAUUUUAUCUUCUUUGCCUUUUUUUCUCUAGCAUCUUCCCCUUGAAAAAUGUAAACAUUGGCUGAAAGCAUUUAAAAACUUUUUUCAUGCCAGCAUCUGAGAAGCUAAAUGUAAUUGUAGAUUAACAAUUAGGAGAAAUAAAACCACUUCACAUUUGCGCUAAAAUUUUUAUACAGAUAUUGACAGGGAGGUCUGGUGUGCUGCAGCCCAUGGGGUUACAAAGAGUUAGGACUUAGCGACUGAACAACAAAAACAUACAGAUAUUUAACAUUUCAUACAGAUACUUAAAACUUUCAUACAGAAUUGCCUGGCAAUCUGACUGCACUUACAUAGGAGUUUUACUUCCUCAAAUAAAAUCAUAAACAUCUUUAUACUCUUUCUAAACUUUUCUAACUACUGCCCAUUUCUCUGUUCCCCUUCAUUGCAAAACUACUCAGGAUGACUUUCUUAGUACUUAGCAAUUCACAUCCUGUCAUUCACUUUUCAACUUAAUGACACUGUAAGUUUUUUCCCAUCACUCCCAAGAAUCUAUUCUUGUUAGAGUCACUUAAGACCAUCAUCUUGCCAAAUCUGCUAUUCCAUCCUCUUGACAUCCACUAGCGUCCUACGGCCAACAUUCUCUCUUCCUCUGGUUUCCUGAUAUUUGAGGCUUCUCUGUCUUGCCCUUACCUACCUCACUGCUUAGCUCUUCUAAGAUUCUCUCUCCUCUUAAUACUUGCCUGGUGCGAUCCUUGUGUUUGAUUUCCUUGGUAGCUCUUCCAAUUUCACAGUGUAAAUACCAUCUACACCAUGGGGAGAUGGUACCCCAGUCACCCCAGUCUUCCAAGGUAGCUUCUCCAGUCUUCCAAGGAGUAAGAGGACCCCCAAAUCUUAGAACUUUUAGCACGACAACAAGGACAGUCCUGGGCAAACCAGGAUGAUUGUACACACUUUAUCUGUGUGUCAAUAACUCCCCCAAUUAUGCCUCUAGUCCACACACACCUCUCUUAUGAACUUUGUUUUGUAAUACACAUUUCAAACUUAAAUUUGACUAAGACAGAAAUCUUGAUUUUUGCCUUUGAUUUUUUUCUUUUCCCAUUAUCCCCAUCUCCAUAGAUGUCAUCAUAAUGUACCAGUUCUUAUGUCAAAAAGAAAGAAGAAAAGGGAAGGAAACCGGAAAUCACUGAUGAUUCCUCCAGACUCUUCCUUUUCUGUCCUCCAGUCCAGCUGCCACCAUGUGGUCCCAGACACCACCAUCUCCCACCUGCAACAUCACAGCAGUCUCCAACUUCCUGUGUAACUCUUAAUUAAUUGUUUCCAAUCCAUAACUAACCAUGAAAGCUGGGAUAAUUCUGGUUUUAAACUAGAGAAUUCUUCUGUAAAAUAUAUACAAACACUCAUUUCUUUUUAAAAUGUUUAAAUUGUUUCCUACUUCUUUGAGAAUAGCAACCAAACAUCUUCCAGGGCUUAUAACAGUGCUUCUUUAUCAACCUGUGGAGAGGAGAAGUUUGUUUUAGUUUAUGCUUUUGUUUCUGUUCUAUUUCAGCAUGGACUGAGACAAGGUCCUACUGCCUGUGGUUGGAAGCAAUCUGCAACGUGAGAUGCACCAUCCAAGUUCAAACUCACCUGAACUUUGAGUCUAGUGAUCAAGGGCUGGAGUCUCUCCAAUUUGAAGUUGUUGAAAAGGUUUUAAAUUGGCAGGAGAGCUCUAAGUGGGCCUGAAGCACUGACUCCCAGAGCACCAUUUGCAGAAAGGACCCGUCAGGCCUUGGCCACUUCUGCCACCAUCAGAAUACUUCAGCUGAUGCUAUGCACCAGUUUCUAUUGCAGUUCCUGAGGAUACAAUGUCAUAAAGCCAUUUCUGGAAAGUUCUGAAUAGUGGCCUUAAUGCCUAGUUAUUGGUCAAUCUGAAAACAUGGUGCCUUGAGUUCUGCCUUGGAAGAUGCUAAGCAGGAUGGCUGCAGACGGCUGGUGAGGUGUGUCUGAUGUUAUCUGUACAUUCUCCCAGAACAGCUCUAGUUCUGCCAAUUUAUAUAUUGAAAUGCUCAGGAGUAAUCACCAUUCUUAACAGACUGGAUCUUGUCCAGGCCCAGAUUCUUGGACUUCUCUGAAUCUCACAUGAUGGCCCCAGAAUCAAAUUCUAUUAACUGCUAAGGACCACCCAGGAGGAACCCUUAAACUGGAUGUAGACAUCUCAAAUUUCCCAGAGCUCUGUCAAGCUAAAGUGGGUCACCCAGACCACACAGAGGCAGGACAGGAGAUCUAGUGGAGUUUUGGUUUGGACUCAACUUCCGAAGAAUGUGUGAUGUCUUCUCCAGUCUUGAGAAAACAAGCCAGAAAAGCUAGAGCCUGUGCACUCGUGGAAACGGCUUGGAUGCGGUAUAUCCUCCCACCACUCGGCUUCAGUAACACGCGUGCGUAUCAGCUGUCCUCAUCUGAGCAUCACAGCUAUGAAUCCUCAACUGUGAAUUUUCCUAAGAAUCUUGUAAAAGCCAUCUCUCCAAUCUAGCCUACCCAGUAGAUUAAAGAAAACUUUAACUUUGUUUCCUCUCAGUUGUC